UUUUUAGAUGCACUAUGUCAGAGGUCAAUGUAGCACUUCAACUACAAAAGAGGGGAUUGGAGAAGUUGGUGUCCAGCACCAAGAGGUGUCUCCCCCUGUGUUCUCAACAGCCCUUGCCAGUGAGACCAAAUCCAGAUUGGAGUGUCAAUCAUCCAGAGCCGCACCAAACGACUCCGCUUGUGAGGUUUCAUCAAGGCGGUGUGUGAAGAGACAGUGGUCUGAGGAGGAGAUACAAGUUGUGAUGAAACAUAUGAGGCCUUUUAUUGAAAACGGUGUCACUUACUAGUAAGCAGUGCCUGAAGUGCAAGGAAAAGAACACCCUGUCUUGGAUCCACUUUUGGCUAGGCUGAGCUUUACUUUUGUUUUAUAAGUUGGUGUCUUGUUUUCAGAAAUGAUUUAUUUCACUUAAUUUAUUUUGCUCACAGCAGGUUUUUGUUUGUUUUGUUUUUUAGCCUUGACCUUUUCAUGUCAGGAUUCACAUUUAUUUCCCUUUAUUAGUUUUUACAAUGCUGUCCAUUGUGAAGGAACGGAUUCUUGAGGUGACCAAAUACAGUUCAGUGAUACAGCAAAUGUUGUGUUGUGUGUUAAUAAUGACAAACCUACAAAAAAAGGCUCUUUUCUCAGGUCAUGUGUGAUUCUGUGCAAUGGGCAAUGGCAGACCGUCGACAAGCCAGUUGCAGUGAGGAUAUGAAACAUGAUUGCAGGUUGGCAGUUGU